UGUGAUGUCUAAAUGAUUUAUUUUUAGGCCAUAAUCCUGUCACCUUAGGUCGAUCGGUAUCUCAGUUUGAUAUCAGCUGACUAAGUAAUUUAGUUCUUUUGGUUAUUAAAUUCAGUUCCUAAACUUUGUCUAGGUCACACCCAACAAGGGUACUCCUGGGCCAUUAGCUCAGGUGGUUAGAGCGCACCCCUGAUAAGGGUGAGGUCCCUGGUUCAAGUCCAGGAUGGCCCAUUCGGUGUUGGGGGUAUAGCUCAGUUGGUAGAGCGCCUGCUUUGCAAGCAGGAUGUCAGCGGUUCGAGUCCGCUUACCUCCACUGAUCCAUCUCCUGACCACGAAGCCCAAGGAGAUUUUGUUUAAUGUGAUCUAGAUUUGUUCUGGAAGUCAGAACCUAGCUUCUUGUCAGCAAUAUUUAACUAUUUAAUUUGCUAGAUAGGACGCUGGGCUCACUGCAAUAUAAAUUGCAGAGUGCUUCAGUAGAACCUUGACAACUGCAUAGGUGAGUCUGGAAAAAAUAAAGCAUCUCAUGGAUGCAUUAUUUUUUCAUAAAAUAAGUUCUAAUUAAUUUAGUCUUUAUUUAUGUUUAAAAUAAUGUUUAAUUCUUGAGCAAGAGCCGAGACUCUAUAAU
rnacentral:tRNA from 1 species